CAGUCGCCACGGGAAUACGUAGGGUGCGAGCGUUAAUCGGAAUUACUAGGCGUAAAGCGUGCGCAGGCGGUUCGUUAAGACAGAUGUGAAAUCCCCGGGCUCAACCUGGGAACUGCAUUUGUGACUGGCGAGCUAGAGUAUGGCAGAGGGGGGUAGAAUUCCACGUGUAGCAGUGAAAUGCGUAGAGGUGUGGAGGAAUACCGAUGGCGAAGGCAGCCCCCUGGGCCAAUACUGACGCUCAUGCACGAAAGCGUGGGGAGCAAACAGGAUUAGAUACCCCGGUAGUCCCUGUCUCUUAUAC
rnacentral:rRNA from 1 species